UAGCCAACCUGGAGCUCUGUUGGCCCAGCUGCUGUUUUAAAAUCUCACAAGUCCUGAGGUAUCCCAAGGCCAGCUUUGAGAAGGGAUGAGAAUCAGUUUGAUGAAGGACAAGGGGAAGAACAGUAACCUCUCUUGCCAUUUAAAGCCAUGAAAAAUCCCAGCUUUCCCAAGGACUAAACUUUGCAGGACC